AUGGUUGCACCUCAGGCCAACUCUACGUAUGUCCCAGAUGAAAUACUACAUUGCGUCACAAAUCCAGAUAUUAUCGGAUCAUUCAACUGGGGGAAGUACAUAGUUGACAACAUCAUGCUAAACGCAAAACGUGUGCAGCAUCACCACAAGGACAAAAUAGGUGUCUGCCUCAUGGGAGGAUUCCAACUCGUGCUUCAGGCGUUCUUCGCUGAGUGGAUGGAUUUUCAAACUAGCAUGACGCCAAAUGUUUGGCCGCGUAUAUCUGCAUACUCAACGGAAAUCCUAAGAGAAAUAUUUAUUCUCGCAAGGGAUCCAAAACACAGAUUCAAGACAAAAGCUGAAGGGGCACUGUCAGAGACUAGAUGGUAUAUACAUCCGAUCCUACUACAGGCGAGCAUGAUUUCAAUGCACACUGUCCAGGCUACUGCUAAUCAGUUCAUCAGCUCUGUGGUCUGCAAUCAGAUCAGAAAAACCGCAAUUCAUUUCGCUAGAAAUCACACACCUCCAGGGCAAAUCCUGUCAGCACAACACCAAGAACGUUGCAGCAGCAUUGUUAACCAUAUUUCCAGCGACCUAUCUUCAGUCGCCUCUGCCAUGUACAAAGAGUUCAUGAACCGACUUGCUGCUGCAGAAAAAGCUCGCCUUAACACACAUGCUAUGCAUCUAAACCCCAGCCCUCUGGAUUGCACAGCUACAGCACUAGUAGUUACCCAGGGUACGUAUGUUCUCAUACCAAACUAA
rnacentral:rRNA from 1 species